GAAUUCGCCCUUAGAGUUUGAUCCUGGCUCAGGACGAACGCUGGCGGCGCGCCUAACACAUGCAAGUCGAACGGAGCUUAGAGAGCUUGCUUUUUAAGCUUAGUGGCGAACGGGUGAGUAACGCGUGAGUAACCUGCCCUAGAGUGGGGGACAACAGUUGGAAACGACUGCUAAUACCGCAUAAGCCCACGGUACCGCAUGGUACUGAGGGAAAAGGAUUUAUUCGCUUUAGGAUGGACUCGCGUCCAAUUAGCUAGUUGGUGAGGUAACGGCCCACCAAGGCGACGAUUGGUAGCCGGACUGAGAGGUUGAACGGCCACAUUGGGACUGAGACACGGCCCAGACUCCUACGGGAGGCAGCAGUGGGGGAUAUUGCACAAUGGGGGAAACCCUGAUGCAGCGACGCCGCGUGGAGGAAGAAGGUUUUCGGAUUGUAAACUCCUGUCGUUAGGGACGAUAAUGACGGUACCUAACAAGAAAGCACCGGCUAACUACGUGCCAGCAGCCGCGGUAAAACGUAGGGUGCAAGCGUUGUCCGGAAUUACUGGGUGUAAAGGGAGCGCAGGCGGGAAGACAAGUUGGAAGUGAAAACCAUGGGCUCAACCCAUGAAUUGCUUUCAAAACUGUUUUUCUUGAGUAGUGCAGAGGUAGAUGGAAUUCCCGGUGUAGCGGUGGAAUGCGUAGAUAUCGGGAGGAACACCAGUGGCGAAGGCGGUCUACUGGGCACCAACUGACGCUGAGGCUCGAAAGCAUGGGUAGCAAACAGGAUUAGAUACCCUGGUAGUCCAUGCCGUAAACGAUGAUUACUAGGUGUUGGGGGAUUGACCCCCUCAGUGCCGCAGUUAACACAAUAAGUAAUCCACCUGGGGAGUACGACCGCAAGGUUGAAACUCAAAGGAAUUGACGGGGGCCCGCACAAGCAGUGGAGUAUGUGGUUUAAUUCGAAGCAACGCGUAGAACCUUACCAGGUCUUGACAUCCAACUAACGAAGCAGAGAUGCAUUAGGUGCCCUUCGGGGAAAGUUGAGACAGGUGGUGCAUGGUUGUCGUCAGCUCGUGUCGUGAGAUGUUGGGUUAAGUCCCGCAACGAGCGCAACCCUUGUGAUUAGUUGCUACGCAAGAGCACUCUAAUCAGACUGCCGCUGACAAAACGGAGGAAGGUGGGGACGACGUCAAAUCAUCAUGCCCUUUAUGACCUGGGCUACACACGUACUACAAUGGUCGUUAACAGAGGGAAGCAAUACCGCGAGGUGGAGCAAAACCCUAAAAACGGUCUCAGUUCAGAUUGUAGGCUGCAACUCGCCUACAUGAAGUUGGAAUUGCUAGUAAUCGCGGAUCAGCAUGCCACGGUGAAUACGUUCCCGGGCCUUGCACUCACCGCCCGUCA
rnacentral:rRNA from 1 species